rnacentral:tRNA from 1 species
GCCGAGGUGGUGGAAGUGGUAGACACGCAAGCUUGAGGUGCUUGUGAAGGAAACUUCGUGCAGGUUCAAGUCCUGUCCUCGGCAC